CAGUCGCCGCGGUAACACGAAGGGUGCAAGCGUUACUCGGAAUUACUGGGCGUAAAGCGUGCGUAGGUGGUGGUUUAAGUCCGUUGUGAAAGCCCUGGGCUCAACCUAGGAAUUGCAGUGGAUACUGGGUCACUAGAGUGUGGUAGAGGAUAGUGGAAUUUCCGGUGUAGCAGUGAAAUGCGUAGAGAUCGGAAGGAACAUCUGUGGCGAAGGCGACUAUCUGGGCCAACACUGACACUGAGGCACGAAAGCGUGGGGAGCAAACAGGAUUAGAUACCCCAGUAGUCCCUGUCUCUUAUAA
rnacentral:rRNA from 1 species